AAGUGCCAGCUUCUGGAGUUCUGAUUGGUUGCAGUGGCUGUCCGCCAAAUGACGUCAAGCCGCCGGAGGGUAGUGGGGAAGCAAGAAUAAACCAAAUGUGCCAAGUCCAGUAGUAAAGAAAACAUGUCAGAAGAAGCAUCCAUAUCUCUUUAAGAGGGACACUGAAAAUAAAAGAAAAAAAGGCUAUUCUGGGGGAAGACAGGAACCUGUUCACCGAAACAGCUAAGGAACAAAGUCGAAAAGCAUUAGAGACUGAAGAGGAAAUAAAAAUGCCUGAUGAAUGGCGUGCCUCUAAUGAUUACUGCUUGUUGUGUUUUAUGCAGUCUAAGACAGAGAAGCCAAUUUUGCUACUGCUUUGAACAGCUGCAAGGGCAGUCUCUGAGAUGAUGCAGUUCCUAAGGGUCACUAUGUAGUCCUUCUUAAGACAAAGCUAAAUAUUGGCCUAGCAUCUAAUUUUGUGUAAUAUUUUCCCGAACAAGUCUUGGUUUUAUUUUAAGGACUGC